AAGGGGAGGGACAGGGUGUGAGCGUGGUGGGGAUGACACUGGCGGUGUGAGCGUGGUGGGGAUGACACUGGCGUGUCGGGACACCAGGCGUUAGGGGGCGGGUAACACUCACAGGCGGUGCAUGAGGAUCUAGAUGGUGGGGUGCUUUGGGCCAGUGAUUCCUGCUAAUGUUUGCAGGCUGUCAGUGAUGGGGGAAUCGGAUCUGUGGAUGAGGAGCUAUGCUGCUCCCACCCUGGCCUGUGAGAGGUUUGCUUUGUGCUACUUUCUUUGUCCCGGUAACUGCGAAAUCAUUCUGCCCAUCUCAACGAUGUCAGAUUGCAGAGAGGGCUGCAAUGGGGGUGGGAGGCUUUGGCUCCGUGCCCACAGCCUUGGGGUUUCUCUCUGUGGGUGUUUAGGGUUGCCAACCCUCCAGGAUUGGCCUGGAGUCUCCUAGAAUCGGCAUCAAUGUUUUGGUGACCAUUGAAAGCAACCCGGGAGAUUUUAAUAGGAUAUUUUAAGAAAAUGACAUAACAUCAUGUUGGAAAAAAAUAUCUCCCAGAAUAGCUUCAGUCAGAGUUGGCAACCCUAUGGGUGUUCAAUAAUUGUGUAGCUGAAUGGUAUUCCGUGGUGCUCAUCACAGUAGUUUCGGAGCCCCUCGAGUAUAUUAAUGCAUUUAUCUUCUAAGCCUCACCGCAUUGAGAUAGGGAGGAAUCAUUCUUAUUUUGCUGAUGGGGAAACUGUGGCACAAAGAAGUGGAAUGACCUUGGCCAAGGUCACACGGAGAUUCUGUGCAGAGCUGGGAACUGAGCCCGGAUUUUCUGUAUAUUGAUUGCAAGAUUGUCCUUCCAGUGGCUUGCUUGUAUUUUUUGUGUGUGUCGUCCUUUCUAUACCCCUGGACUAAUUCUCUUCGCUGUCCUCUGUCUUGCCACUCUGGCUUUGAAAGGUAAGUUAGAAAGGCUCUAAUGCAGGUGGGAUAUAAACCUGGAUAUUUUUCUUCGCAGAGAAGAAUGAUCAGCUCAAAAAUCAUAUGAUGUGAAAAUAACUUUUACAUCUGAUACCAGUUAUGAAACAUCCACUUUAUUUGUCUCUGUUUAUUUGUUGCUGUGUAUUUAAUUUAUGUUUCUCAGAGUAUACAAUAACAAUCAGUGACGUCAGUUACACUUGUCUAUAGUCAAUUUCAGCUUUGGGUUCCUAAUGCUGCAGUAUUUAAGGUACAAACAAUGCAGGAGAUUGUUUAACAGUUUGGAGAUCUUUUCUUAAAAAAAGGGAAGCACAUCUAUUGAUCUUGCAUGUCUAUGGAAGCUUUUAAAAUGUAUAGUUAAACUGUACUUUUGGCUAAGUUCAAAUUGACAUCUCAUUUAAAAGUAGAGAACUGUUAAAGGCACUCUGGAAUAUUUUGACUUGAAUAAUUUUUUUUUAAAGAUCUGCAAUUUGAUAUCGCCACGCUCUACUUUUUUUCAAAAUUUCCCAUACAAUAAUGCUUUUUUUUUGUUUGUUUGGGGUUUUUUUUACGAGUUUUUCUUCUCCUCUGCUGUUUAAAAGGGUCUUUCUAGUGAGGUUAAAACAGUCUGAUCAUACAGACAAACUGAAUAUAUACACAUUUCUGUCACCUGCACUAGGUAAAUACACUGGGGAAAUAAAACCUUUUUUCCUUCUAAUUUGUUUCAGUUAUAAUAACCUUAGGUGUUAUUUGUAACUUUGGGAGGUAGGUACGUUUCAGGCAGCACGCUGGUGUUGUCAUGUCGGUGUUACUUUUGAAAUAGAAAUGGCUCUCCUAGCCUUCGGUUACUGUAAAUGAACUGCUGAAGGCUUGAUGUCUGUGCUGCUGUUCUAGGUCCGGCAAGAUCUGAACGUGGUCACUGUGGAAUUUACUGAACUGAAGCAGCAGCUGGAGCGAGACUCGUUGGUUCUGAGUGUGCUGAAACAGCUGCAAGAGAGCCACUAGGAGCAAAGCAAGGGACAGGCUGAAGGAGCAGAGCCAUCCCCAGGGUGACAUGCCAGGCAAAGAAGAGUCCAGGACAAAUGUAUCCCCACUACGGAGCUCUGUCCCAGUUAAUAUGUAGUGACAGUGGCUCGGCAUGAGUUGAAAAGACGGAGGGAGCCGUCAAACCUGCCUGUUGCCAAGACCUCUAAGGAGGCAUCUCCAGCAGCCCAGCCCGCAGGAGGAGCCCAACCACUGGAUCAGAGAGGGAGCCUCGUGUUUCACCUCACCACACCCCAGUGCUAUUUAAAUAAAGUGGAACAGCUUCAACAGGCACCAUCGAGCAGCCCAGGACCCAAUGACUGGGGCACUCCCUAUGGGUGACAGACAGCAGGGGACGUCUCGUCCCUACCAUGGUGGUGCUGCCGCCGGCUCCAAAAGCCACCUCUCCUUUGUGCAGCGUGGCUGUGAGAGCCCCCGUGCAACGAGGAGAUGCGACCGCCGCAGGGAAGAUUUGCUGUGCUCCCCUGGACGCAGCCGCGACAGGCACGAGCGUAGCAGCAGAGUAUCGAACACGGCAGAGACUCUGCGGGGGGAGCAGAAAUGUUUCAACUAUCUGCAAAUUACUGAGACUGUUUGUGAGUAAAUAGAGCUCGAAGGGGUGCUGCAUUAGCCAGUCAAUAGCCCCUCGUUAGAUGUAGGGGUUACAUUGACAGCACAUGGCUAUGCUGUGUUAUUCACAUGACAGAUUCAUACAACACAUUGUACAGCCCUUCUACUAAGAGUCAUUACUGUUCUCUAAGUAGUUCACAUGUAUUAUUAUUGAAAUUAUAUCUACCAUGUGUGCUCUAGGCUUAUGUCUCUGGGCGAGCAGACAACAUCAUCAAUCUAUGUUUUAUAAUUAGAGGGUGGGGUCUUGUCAUCUGUGUAACUUAAUAAAAAUAGCAGACAGAAAGAACUUCUCAGAUCAGUUUAUUCUACAAAUAAUGACAAAUAUUUUGAUGCAUUAUAUGGUACAAACAAGCUCUUACUGUCGCGUGACUACAGACUUGCUUUAACCAAAGGUAAAAGAGUACAGGGACAUGCAUAAAACUGAUCACCUGGGGCUAAAUGUUUCCCAAACCUUCCAAAACAGUACGAUUUGUAUUGAGAAGACUGACGGUUUUGGUCAAAAUUAAACUAUGCAUCUGA